rnacentral:rRNA from 1 species
GAUGAACGCUAGCGGCAGGCUUAAUACAUGCAAGUCGUGGGGCAGCAGGUCUGUAGCAAUACAGAUGCUGGCGACCGGCAAACGGGUGCGUAACACGUACGCAACCUUCCCGUUACUGGGGAAUAGCCCAGGGAAACUUGGAUUAAUACCCCAUAUUAUAUUGGUUAGGCAUCUGACUGAUAUCAAAGCUUCGGCGGCAACGGAUGGGCGUGCGGUUGAAUAGGUAGUUGGCGGGGUAACGGCCCACCAAGCCUACGAUCAAUAGCUGAUGUGAGAGCAUGAUCAGCCACACGGGCACUGAGACACGGGCCCGACUCCUACGGGAGGCAGCAGUAAGGAAUAUUGGGCAAUGGACGAAAGUCUGACCCAGCCAUGCCGCGUGAAGGAUGAAGGUCCUCUGGAUUGUAAACUUCUUUUAUCUGGGGCGAAAAUCGGUUAUUCUUAGCCGCUUGACAGUACCAGAUGAAUAAGCACCGGCUAACUCCGUGCCAGCCGCCGCCGUAAUAC